CUUUCUCUUUAUAUACAUACAGUGUUUUUAUCAUCCCGUAUUUGAGAGUUCAACACAUACGUGAGUGCAUUGAGUGUGUGUUGUGGGGCCUGAACCAACAAAUUCUGUUUAUGUUGAUUUUAUGUUUUUUAAGAAGUACAUGCCCGAUCUUGCUAGUCUUUUCUCUCACGUUCUCGUUGAUGUCAGCAGCGUCAAAGUUUUAUGUUGCCAUUGGUUCCAAGAAGCAACCAGAAGAGAAAAUUUCAAAAAGAUGAGAGGAUGUGAUAUAUGCAAAAGGACGUGAACACAUGUUUUUUUAUCAAUCAAGAACUAUAAUUAACGGCAUUGAUAUUAUUCAGUCAGAACUACCAUGGUAACAACCCAAAGUUUCAAACAUUUAGUAAUACUGAAACAAAGGAGGGUUCUGGGGAACACCAAAAAAAAGUGAGAAAUUGGAACACAAGGGUAUUUUUGGCCAUCAUAUUCCAAAGUCCGGGUGCGCAUCUCUUAACCUUUUUAUCGAGAAUCAUCUACAGACUUUCAUUCUCCAGUAAAUCAACACCACCACCACCCUAGCCCGCACUACUCCAUCAUCGAUCCCUAGGUUUCCAAUGGGGUUCAGGUAACUACAAGGUUUGGAUCUCACAACACUCGUCAAUGGAAGAGUGCUAGUUGUGGUAGCUCGGGGAGAUGGGACUUACCGGCGACAAAACCUAAACAUAAAUUCGUUAUCUUCGUCGGAAACGUUUUCGAUUGAUGACACAUUGUUUGCCAAAUAUAAGCAUACCACCACUUUCCUCUUCCCUGCUCUGGUCAGAUUUAAGAAUUACAACAAAUUUUUUAGUUUAUUGUUCAAUUGGAAGCUAAUUGAAGAAAAUUGUUUUAUUGAUAUCUGAAAAUUUGUGUUCAGAUUCAUUGUGAAAGCUAUUAGCUACCAGAUGAACUUGCAAUUUUGAAUCAAUUUGUGAAUUUCUCUAUCAAAUCAGAUGUGUGUGCUCUAGAUUAUAGUGAUUUUGUUUCAAGGUGCACCAACAGUUGGAAUGGGACAAGAAGCUAUCAAGGUUUUUUAAGAUGUAAAACUGUCUUUGAUGGUCAAUUAUAUAUAAAAUUUGCUACAAAAAGAAGAAUAUAAGCAGUGAGGGGUUGGG